rnacentral:rRNA from 1 species
GGGGGGAGCAACGUUGUUCGGAUUUACUGGGCGUAAAGGGCGCGUGGGCGGCCUCCGCAAGUCAGUUGUGAAAUCUCCGAGCUUAACUCGGAAAGGUCAACUGAUACUGCGGGGCUAGAGUGCGGAAGGGGCAACUGGAAUUCUUGGUGUAGCGGUGAAAUGCGUAGAUAUCAAGAGGAACACCUGCGGCGAAGGCGGGUUGCUGGGCCGACACUGACGCUGAGGCGCGAAAGCUAGGGGAGCGAACGGGAUUAGAUACCCCGGUAGUCCUAGCCUUAAACGAUGAAUGCUUGGUGUCUGGGGUUAUAUAGUCCCCGGGUGCCGUCGCUAACGCUUUAAGCAUUCCGCCUGGGGAGUACGGUCGCAAGACUG